rnacentral:tRNA from 1 species
AAAGGCUUAGUUAAAAAAUAACGUUAAUUUGUCAAAUUAUUAUUACCCCUAGGUAGCCUUUA